UACGUAGGGGGCGAGCGUUGUCCGAAGUUACUGGGCGUAAAGAGCGCGUAGGCGGGCUCUUAAGUGAGAGGUGAAAGGUUCGGGCUCAACCCGGAGAGUGCCUUUCAUACUGGGAGCCUUGAGUGCGGGAGAGGCAAGUGGAAUGGUCGGUGUAGCGGUGAAAUGCGUAGAUAUCGAUCGGAACACCCGUGGCGAAGGCGGCUUGCUGGCCUGCAACUGACGCUGAGGCGCGAAAGCGUGGGGAG
rnacentral:rRNA from 1 species